GCCCAUCUCACCUUUGGCACCUGGAAAUCCAGGUAUUCCAUCCCGGCCAGGUGGUCCGGGUGAACCCUGAGGGCCUGGGAGGCCAGGGGGUCCUGGAUAUCCUGGGGUUCCUUGGUCACCUGGAGGACCAGGAACAUCGAAGCCUGGAGGACCUGGAUCCCCUUUCUCCCCUGGUACGCCCUGCAACCCUGGUGGGCCAACAGGACCUGGUGGUCCUGGAGGUCCAGGUGGCCCUUGGCCUCCAAUGCCGGGGAUGCCUGGUGGGCCUGGAAGUCCUGGUGGUCCGCUUGGUCCAGGGUCACCUUUGGGUCCUGGAGUUCCAUCAAAACCCGCCCGUCCUGGAAGACCAGGGUUUC
rnacentral:lncRNA from 1 species